AUACGGAGGGUGCAAGCGUUGCUCGGAAUCACUGGGCGUAAAGGAUGCGUAGGCGGAUAAUCAAGUCAAAAGUGAAAUCCCACGGCUUAACCGUGGAACUGCUUUCGAAACUGGUUAUCUAGAAUAUGGAAGAGGCAGAUGGAAUUAGUGGUGUAGGGGUAAAAUCCGUAGAGAUCACUAGGAAUACCGAUUGCGAAGGCGAUCUGCUGGGACAUUCUUGACGCUGAGGCAUGAAAGCGUGGGGAGCAAACAGGAUUAGAUACCCUAGUAGUCC
rnacentral:rRNA from 1 species